rnacentral:tRNA from 1 species
GCCUGGGUGGCUCAGCAGUUUGAGCGCUGCCUUCGGCCCAGGGCCUGAUCCUGAAGACCUGGGAUCGAAUCCCACCUCAGGCU